GAAUGCUGACAUAAGUAACGAUAAAGCGGGUGAAAAGCCCGCUCGCCGGAAGACCAAGGGUUCCUGUCCAACGUUAAUCGGGGCAGGGUGAGUCGACCCCUAAGGCGAGGCCGAAAGGCGUAGUCGAUGGGAAACGGGUUAAUAUUCCCGUACUUGGUGUUACUGCGAAGGGGGGACGGAGAAGGCUAUGUUGGCCGGGCGACGGUUGUCCCGGUUUAAGCGUGUAGGUGUGUGUUCCAGGUAAAUCCGGUUCACUUUAACACUGAGGCGUGACGACGAGGCACUACGGUGCUGAAGCAACAAAUGCCCUGCUUCCAGGAAAAGCCUCUAAGCAUCAGGUAACAUCAAAUCGUACCCCAAACCGACACAGGUGGUCAGGUAGAGAAUACCAAGGCGCUUGAGAGAACUCGGGUGAAGGAACUAGGCAAAAUGGUGCCGUAACUUCGGGAGAAGGCACGCUGACACGUAGGUGAAGUGAUUUACUCAUGGAGCUGAAGUCAGUCGAAGAUACCAGCUGGCUGCAACUGUUUAUUAAAAACACAGCACUGUGCAAACACGAAAGUGGACGUAUACGGUGUGACGCCUGCCCGGUGCCGGAAGGUUAAUUGAUGGGGUCAGCGCAAGCGAAGCUCCUGAUCGAAGCCCCGGUAAACGGCGGCCGUAACUAUAACGGUCCUAAGGUAGCGAAAUUCCUUGUCGGGUAAGUUCCGACCUGCACGAAUGGCGUAAUGAUGGCCAGGCUGUCUCCACCCGAGACUCAGUGAAAUUGAACUCGCUGUGAAGAUGCAGUGUACCCGCGGCAAGACGGAAAGACCCCGUGAACCUUUACUAUAGCUUGACACUGAACAUUGAGCCUUGAUGUGUAGGAUAGGUGGGAGGCUUUGAAGUGUGGACGCCAGUCUGCAUGGAGCCGACCUUGAAAUACCACCCUUUAAUGUUUGAUGUUCUAACGUGGACCCGUUACCCGGGUUGCGGACAGUGUCUGGUGGGUAGUUUGACUGGGGCGGUCUCCUCCUAAAGAGUAACGGAGGAGCACGAAGGUUGGCUAAUCCUGGUCGGACAUCAGGAGGUUAGUGCAAUGGCAUAAGCCAGCUUGACUGCGAGCGUGACGGCGCGAGCAGGUGCGAAAGCAGGUCAUAGUGAUCCGGUGGUUCU
rnacentral:rRNA from 1 species